rnacentral:lncRNA from 1 species
CCCUCCAUCUACCAGCGCCGACGGCUGAAAAGCACAGAGGAUACCAGUUAGUAUUGAAUGAUAGUGCUUUGUCAGAUUUCAUUUGUCCCAUUGCUCUGUGUGUGUGUGUGUGUGUGUGUGUAAAACAGUCAGAAAAACUAAAUAGAAGGAGAUUCAGUUAAAAAUCUUGAAAACAUAUGUGUAGAGAACCCUCAUAUUCUGGUGGGCUUAGCUUCUAAUGGCAAGCGUUUGAUUCUGACAUUAGAUCAUAACAUUUGGCAAUGACAUUUUCCUGGGUCUGAGGUCUAUCCAGGAUUGUUGUCUGUUGCUAGCAGAUGGAAAUUUUCUUCUUAGAAAAUGAGCUCUGUUCCAGUCCCCUACAGCUACCGGGUAAUGGCCGGCUUCUUGCAAGAGCCAAAGAGACAGCAAAGCUGACAGGCACAGUCAGAGUGAGCUUUAAAUACCAUGCACCCCAUCAUUUGGUGGGUGGGUGUUGUUGCUAACUGUGUUUCCACUUCAACAAAGAAAGUGGUGAGUUGCCAAAAAACAAGGAUGUUCCAUCUUAGGGAUUGUGUUGAAUUCUUUCCAGAGAAGCAAUUUUUUUUUUAAAGAUGAAUUUUAUCCUAAAAUAUUUUCCAAAUUUAUUUAGGCAUUCUAUCCAAGGAAAAUAAUUUAAGUAUUGUGCCAUGUAACUAGAAUCUGUAGAAUUAGAAUAACUUUCUCUCACCAAAGCUCUAUUCACCAGCAGUCUCUGACAGCCUGUGUGGGGUGGGGUAUGUAUGGGCCAAGGUCACAAUUACGCAGGCCGGCCAAUGAGACACGGGACCUGGAAAACUAUAGCCUAGCAAAUUUACAAACAGGUGGUAAAAAUAUGAUUUUUUAAAUUGUUCUUUCCUUUUUGCCUCCUAUCAUUACUACUUUUCUGAAAGGUCAGUUUUGUUUUCUUUAGGAAAAACAGCCUUUCCUUCAUUUCCCAAAUACUAUGUUGAUGCCCUUCCUUAGAAGUCUUCCUCUUAAUUAAGUUGGCCCGAAGGUCAUAAACCGUAAUCAAUAUGGAGGCUGGUCGCUGCAAGGUGCUAAUUGACAUCCCCAAAGAGGAACCGUGUCAACAAUCGAUACAGAAGAACAGAGUACGGGUAGAUUUAUGGCUUUGAUUUUGAAAAGGUAUGGGAAUGCCCUGUGAUGUUCCCCCCCCCCCCCCCCCCGUACUCCUUUUGAAUGUUAAUGCUUUCUUGAAGAUGAUUUCAGACACACUGCUAGGAUACUGCCUCUACUCACUGAAGCAGAAUCCUCUGAAGAGUUGCUGAGGCAGAACUGAAAUCAUGGCUCGCCACAAAGAAGCAGCCGUAUUGGCCGCUAAUGAUGCCUCACACAGAAAGGCGAUGCUCCUUUAACUCGGGGGUUUUAAUGGGAAGUUUCUAAGCCUGAAACAACAGCUUUAGAUCUGGGGUGUGCCAUCAGCUGCUAGCAGCUACCACUGUCUACUGCUUCAACACAGCUUGAUCGGGAAGAAUGGGAACUAAAGAGGCUUGUAACUACCUGUAACUGUUCCACCAGGAAAUGGAUCAAGUGUUUGUUCAGCCAGACCCAGGUACUUGACCAACACUGUGUCUUUGAUGGGCUAAUUAAUGCUUUUCUCUAACUUUACGAUUCAUGCAUGAGCAAUGAUCACAUAGAUGCUUUUGGAUCCAAGUUCUGAAUUUAGAUCUAGAUGUCAGAUAAAGUCUAAUUAAACAGUUGCCGGGUAAAGUUAAUACGAGGGGGGUGAAAUGUAAUGGUGCCUUUAUUUUUAAAGCAUGCUUAAGUUUAUGCUACUGAUACUGGAUAAAAGAGUAGUAAAAUAGGCUUUUUUCUUUGCUAAGCUGCAGUAAAUUAUUCUCGAAAUCUAUUUGUCCAUUAUAGUAUUUUUUUUUCCAUUCACCUAAAACGUCCAACCUCCCAAAAUGUAACAGGGAUGUUUUAAUUUGUUCACAAAGAAUCACAACUCAACAACUCAUAAUGAUGAUGCUGACCAUCGCUGAUGCCCCUGCGUGGUGAGCCCUGUGCAGCUCCAGCCUUCUGAGGUAUCAGCAAGCACCCUUUUGCAUUAGGAAACACACAAGGAAAGAGAAAGAAAACUGGGUAUGACAGUAAGGUGUAUUGUAUGAGGUUACAAGUUCCAGUUUGCUACUGGUGCCUUUUGGUACCCCCACGUACUGACUGGGCACUCACGUGGGAUUUUUCUCAGCAAGGCUGCAGCCUUGCCCUGCAGUCCCUUCAAAACUCUUCUAGCAGAUGUUAGGAGGAAAAUGAAGACAGGGAAGAAGUAAAGCUGAGGUUAGGGCUCAGGCUGAAGAGAAAGCUCUUGUGCUGACCCAGAGCUGGUGAGCCAGAACGACAGGGUCCACUCCCAAACCCAAGCAGACAUCUGCAGGCUGACUUUGCAGUGACAGUCAGAGGGAACAGACCUCUCAUUGCAGCAGUGAGGGCUGGCGACAGUUCCAAAACUGCCUGUUGACAUUUGUAGCUGACCACAUUCACAUGUAUUUAAAGUCACUGUUUUAGGGCUUUUUAGUAGCCUGGGGUCUGUUUGUUCAGUGCGUAAAAUAAUAUCUGUCCUUAGCCAUCCUGUGAAUUCUGAAACAUCAGUGCUAUUGUACUGGAUCAAGAAGUCCGUAUUCAGCAAAGAAAAAUAUGGAGGUUGCCAUACAUUUAUGUGAGCCAAAAAAAAAAAAGGGAGGGGAGUGUAUGUUGGUUAACAUACAUGAAGUACCUAGAAAGAGCCAGGAAAUCUUUACCUGAAUUUAUUUCUGGGCUGAUCACCAAGAGGGCCAUGAGUUCUCUGAAUUUAUGGGAAAUAUUUUGCAUCCCUGUGUGUAUAUCCUGGAAUGCAAAUUAUUGUUCACUGCGUUCCUACACAGAAUUUCCACAAGAUUCAUAGGUAAUAGCUUUUGUUUAUGUAGUGAUCUGAUUACUUAGGUGAUGAGGUGGCUUUUGUGGAGGGCUCACAGUUAGUUGUAGGGGGAGAUAUAUAACAGGGCUGAUGGGGAUGUUUACACAUCCAGGGUGGGUGGGUUGGGACAGAGGGUGGAGUAUAUCUCCAGACACUCCAGUUAUGCAAACAGCAAUGCAGCUGAGGUUUUGUUUAGCUCAAAAAAGUAGAGGUGAUUCUAUUUAGCCUCAGUCUCAGGAUAUGUACCACCGUUAAUCACCCAAAGGCAUGCUAACAUUUCAACAGUCAGUUUCAGAACUGUUGCAGAAUAAUGCAGCACUUUGAGGAAGUUUGUCUCUGCUGGUCAUUGCAAAUUCAAUCUUGCCUACCCAGUCAAUUCCCUUCCUGUUACAGUCUACAAAUUGGUCUCGCUAGUCUGCCAGAUAAAUAUAAAUAAGGUACACAGGAUGUCUUUGUAGCACAGAGUGUCCUGUCCGUUAAAUGUGAACGUAAACUAUACAAACCUGGGAGUGUUCUUGUUCCACAGACACGCUGUUUUUUGCAUCUACUUUUGGAAAACAUGUCGAGGUUUCUGGCUUAGAAGUUUUAAAAAUGAGGUGCGGUGCUUACGUGGUUUAGAGGUACUCAAAAAUACAGACACUAUGGCUUGCCUGCACCCUGCAUACCAUUAGCAGCGGGGGGACGACCGACUUUCUACUCAUUCUGACAUGCCGGAGAGAAACUUGUGAGUCAGCAUCCUUGGGGAGAUGCUUCUCCUCUGGUAACUGAUUUUUAUGAUUUGGGCCAGUUUACUUAUAAUCUCCGCUCCCUGGUGUGCUUGUUUGCAUAAUAGAAUUUAGAGAUAAACCUCAUUUUGCACAAAAAAACGGCACACAGAUAAAAUGCUAUUCAUCAUCACAUAUUUAUUGAACGCCCACUAUGAGCCGGGCAGGACUCCACAUGACAUGCAUCCAUUGUAGCUAUUAUCAUUGCAGCCCGUUGCAGGAGAGGGGGUAUGGGAACGGAUCCCCACAAAAGUGAGAUGGUGGGAUCAAAUGCUCCACAGAGCGAUGUGUCCAAUGCGCUGAACUAAUUCUGUGGCUGUCACUUUAAAAAUAAGAAAAGAAAUAUAUCAUUGCUUUAAGGUCUAUUUUCUCCAGAUAAAAUAAUUUUCCUUACUGUUAAAUGGUAUCAUGCGAUGCUCAUGCAAUGAAAUGUCCAAAUGAGCUGAGCUUGACGGAGGGUCAUGUUGACAUUUACAGUUUCCAGGUAGGACAUCUGGAUUCAGGAUAUUUUAAAUGGCAGCUCUUCCCCACCCACAAGGCCAAUUAACUAAGAAAGACUUGAGCCCUGAAACAGAAAGGCACGUGCAAAUUUCUCUGUUUGAUGGGACCCUAUCCAUCAGCACUGAAACCAAGGAAAGGGUAAAAAGCCAAAUAACUGCUUUUCAAAUCAUGAAAUCCAAGACUGAUGAAGAGUCACAGUGACCCAGACUACCUGUCUGUAUUCUUAGAAAUCAGACCGAUUGCAAACAUGAAGGUCUGACGUCCCAGUCGAGCUGGAUGACAUGUGCUUUUUCACCCCUUCUUUCUAUCAGCUGGCACCUCCAAGUUUGAGUUCAGUUCCUUGGAUGGUAGGGGCCAGAGAUUUGAUUGAAACUCUGUUUAAAAAGGCAGUGACCCCGGAGCAGCAAGGGAUUCCUCAAGGAGCUUGCUGUUUCCUAAGGAGACAGAGUUGAACACCGCGGAGACUUGCCCUGGGCGAGGUGCUGCCCCAGGACGCAGGUGCGGGGCUCCAGGGGACAGAGCAGGAGGCAUCCUGGCCGCUCUGGUGAAGGGAGAGAGACGCAGGCCCCACCAGGGAGGGGGUAUUUGGUGUGAACCCUGAGGGAGGGAGCGAAACCCACAGGCGCGAAGAGAGCGAGGAGGAGGGCAUCAGGCAGAGAGCAUCAUGACUAAAAGCUCAGAGGUGGGAAACCUGGAGGAGUUCAAAGAACAGCCUGUGUUAGGUAGAGCUGCAGAGCAAACCAAGUGAGAACGGCCUCCUCAGGUGUCUGCACACUCAGUCACACGUAAGUUUUUGCCUCUUGGUCAUUUGACUCCGGACCAAAUGCAAUUUGAGGUUUGUUCUUCUGGAAACUUAUUAGGAAAAUAAAUUAAUGCCUUACAAAACUUCCAUUGGCAGAAGAUGACCUAAAUCUUGCAGUCGAGAAAACAGGGGUAUCAGGUCUGUCUGUAAGGGGGUUAAUGGGCAGUCAGGGUCCUUGGACAUCGGAGCCCAAAGGUUUUCCGAGGGAAGAAGGGUUGGGUUCUGAGCUGAGAGAGAUGAAUUUGACGCAGUGUGUCAGAAGCAUGAGGAAAGGAAGACAGGCCUCCGCAAAUUAUUAUAAGUAAGGCGAGUGGCUAUUAGUGCCAAUGGUGAUGGCUAAGAUGAGCUGCUCACUUGGGGCGUCGUAAGUAUUGCGGGGGUUUUACACUUUGUGACCAUCGCAGAGUCCGGGGGUUUGACUUAAGAAAAGGAAUGUGGUAUAUGAUUUUUGAGAAGCGCUUCUUUUAAUUAAGCCUUCCUUGGUCCGGUAUGAAAAUUAGACUUUGCUGUGUCCUGAGUACACGCAAAUAGACCUGCAAAGGGGAGACAGGGGUGUGCCGUGGACGGGGAUGCCAGCUAGGAUUAAAGCACCGCCGUGAGUACCGUGGUCCUUCUUGUACUUAAAACAACCGCCUUUUGUUUUUGUUAGCACUUAGGAUGCUUGUGUCAGAAUCCUUUCAAAUAAUUUACUUGCCCAGAUUUCUCUAUUCACCUCAGAGGAAGAUUUCAUCAUUCAGGUAAAAGCACCCGUGAACAUUUUCUAAGGAUCAUUUUUUGCCAACAAGGGACAUUUCACGCUAAGGUAGACGUUUUAAAAGAUCUUGAUGUCUCUGAAUAUUUUUUUUACUGGGGCAGUCAAGUGAUUACAUUUCUUUCUUUUUCUGCAUCUUACUCUGUCCGAUGCUUCCUUUAACUUGGAUGUGCUGUUGAGCUUUCCAAAUUUGUAAAUUAUUGAUUAGCUGAUUGCGGGUGUAAAAUCAAGCAGGCUCGUCCAGGGAUUUCAAUCAGUCCCAGGCAAAGCUUGGGCAAGAGCUGGCUUUUCUUCCUGGAUCUAUGUAUCCCCCAUAUACCCUGAUGAACUAUCUCCGGAUCUUCUCAUCUAUACCCAUCAUCCCCCACCCUCUCCAGGACUUUCCUCCUGGGCCAUCUGCCCACAGAACCUCAUGUCUGCUGCCCCCAACCCCGAUGGCCCCUCACUUCCGGAAAGACCCUUCACUCUCCUUUCUGUCUACCACACUUCCCCUCCUUCAAAUAAAAGCAGUUUUCCUAGACAAAUUCCUGUUAACGUGUUCAUGUGUCAUUCUCCUUGGUAAAAUAUUGCAAUUUAAUGAGAGGCUUUGAUGAUUUGACCGGAUGAAGUUAUUUUAAUAGGAAGUGGGUUAUCACAGCAUGGUGGGAGGGGAGAGGCUUGCAGUUUAUAAAGGGCUGUGGAGUUUUCGAAAUACUUUCAUCUCCGUUUUCUCAUCAGUUUGGUUUGUCAGCAAGGGGUUGGUGACGAAGGGGUUGGAGGAUAUAUAUUUAUAUUUUGGCAGGCUUGUAAAAAGCAUGUGAUGAGGCUGUAGAGAGGGUUAACCAUAUCACAGCAUCUGCCUUUAAUCAGCAGAGGGUGGUAACACUGCAAAUUAAAACUGAUUUUUAGAUCAUUCUAAGAGUUGACUUCCCUGGGAAGAAGCCAAGCUCCAGACUCAUUGACAGGGAGACAGAAAAGGGAAACGUAGCUGAUAAUGUGAAUCAGGAUGACUAGGUAACUUGCUGGGGCUUCUUGGAAUGAUUACCCAUCACUGCAGCCCCCAAGUGAACGGUGGACCAGCUCGAAAAUCUGAGUUCUGGAGGAAGCCUAGGAAGUAUGAGCUGGGAGAAAAGAAGUUGGCAUUUUGCCUUGUGUGAAGGACAAGGCUGGGGAAGACAGCUCCCGGGCAUCAAGUGGACACUGGAGGUGAGAAGGGAAAGGCUGACCAAGGUAUUGCUAUAUUAGCCCCCCAGCUUGUCUCAAGGGAGCUGUCACAGGCUCAAAUGGUUCUAUGUCUAGUUGUUCACCAUGUUCAAUGAACUUCACAGAUCCAGAAAUCUUUAUGUUGUGUGUAUACACCGUUAAUGGCCUUCACUUCUCCUGUAUCUCCUUUCUGGCUUACAUAAUGUUUUCGUAAAGAACUUCCAGAAAAGUCAUACCUACCUCAGCCGUGUUAAGAACAGACAAAGAAAAUGGCUCUGGCCUCAUUCGGGCUGGAGGGAAAAUGGACAUAGAGUGGGAUUCCAGGAAGUCAGUGGAGAGGGCAGGGUCAAAGUGAGGGGGUCCUCCAUAGGACACAGAGAGACCAGAGGGACCAUGGCAGGGAUGGCUUAGGCGCUUCUCCCUCUAUCAGCAUGUGACUUCCUUUUGACCCAGGCCUUGGUAAUUUAUUUUUAAUUUUUAAUUUGUAUUUGUUAGAGAGCACAACCAGGGGAGGGGCAGAGGAAAAGAAAGAGAGAAUUUUAAGUAGGCUCCACGCCCAGCACGGAGCCUGUUGUGGGGCUCAAUUCCACAACCCUGGGAUCAUGAGCUGAGCCGAAAUCAAGAGUCGGACCCUCAACCGACGGAGCCACCCAGGUGCUCCCCCCUUGGUGGAUUUUAUACUUGGUAUGAAUAAGUCUAGUUUGGAUGUUUCCUGGGAGUGCAGAUGGCCCAUUACUUGAAACACUAAGGAUGCUGAAGAGGAGGUUCUGGCCACCCUUUCCUGCCCCCUCCCCUCACCCAAUUAUCUGCUGAGAAUUAACACCCGACGUCGGGAGGGUGCCUAAAAACAAGCGCACCAAACCAAACCCGAUCCAUCAACAUCCUCUAUAUCCCCACGGAGCUUAUUUUUAAGAAAUACAGUCAAAUUUUAUCAUAAUCUUACUUUAAAAUAAAAAUGAAUGAUAAACAAAUCUACCGCAAUGACUCCAGCCUGAAAAAUAUCUAGUCAUAGAGCUGCAAAAUUUUUUUUUCCUCCUAACUGGUAAGUCCUUCCUCCCAGACACUGGUUGUAAAUCUCUUUAUAAACUGUGCCUUAAACCGUGAUUUUAUAAACUUUGAAGUGUCAUCAUACAGGCAAACUGUUAUUAUGAUUACUAAUGCAACAAUUAUAACUAUAGAAAUAUUGUAUUAGAGCUUUAGGUCAUCAUUUCUAUUUUCAUUUGGUUGCUUCUUCUAAUUGAGUAUCAUUUAUUUUGAUUCCAUGUUAAUUCCUAUAGCUGACUACUGUGCCGUGUAAUUUUUCUUAUAACAGACUCAUACAUAGAUUUAGUUCAAAAUAUCCGAAGUUUUUAUGGCCGUUGUGGAUCCUCCGACUUGCCUUUAUUUUUUUAAUUUUCAAACAAUGUUUAAUGUUUACUUACUUUUGAGAGAGAGAGAGACAGAGAGAGCAUACGCGGGGGAAGGGGCAGAGAGAGAGGGAGACACGGAAUCUGAAGCAGACUCCAGGCUCGGGCUGUCAGCACAGAGCCCGAUGCGGGACUCAAACCCAUCAACCGUGGGAUCAUGACCUGAGCCGAAGCCAGACGCUUAACCGACUGAGCCACCCAGGCGUGCCCUCCAACUUGCCUUUAAAGACAAACAGUAAUAUUCAUAUAUCUUAAUUUAUCCACCGGUAAAAUGGAAAUAGCGAUAACUUAUCUUUUCCCUUGUCUUCCUCCUUUUCAAGUGGUCUUACACAGUAGGAAGCUACUGUAAAGCUUUUUUUAAAAAAUACAGCCGAUCAAUCCCUUUUCCCUAGCUCAGUUCUCGAGGUGCUUCUCCGGGUCAAGUAUUGAACCUGGUCUAUGUUUUCUGAAUAAAAGACAAGCAGCGGGAGCUUGAUAGUCUGGGAGUCUGAGACGCCUCCUCUCUCCCUUGACCGAGGCAACAGAAAGGAAAGAAGCAACCUGGCUCCCAUAGGCAGUUCUUAAGUGAAGCGACUCUUGGUUUUGUUUGUCUUUCUUCUUUGUAUACUUUCCGAAGUGUUUUCACAGACAUUCAUCCUCAUUAUAGCACCAUGAGAUACACAGGCAUUUCUGAUUCCGUUUUUACAGCCUAGUGACUCUAAGGUCCCACGCUCAUUUAGUAGUAGAAUGGAGGCCAGAGGCUGGAGCCCAGAACUCGAUACUCCCCGGGAGUUUCUGUAUUAAGCACCUUUUCCAGCCUCAGUUUCCUCCCACUGAGGCUCUAGAGGUCUUGGCUUUCACGGAGCUUGUAGUAGAGUGGCUAACCUAUGUUGUGUCUAGCUAGAGUCUUGGCACAUAGCUGGUGUUCCAUCAAUGGUAUCAUUAUAAGAAUGAUGUGAAAGUCAUAUUAUUGGAGGGAGUCUGGAAGAGACUUGGCAGGGGACACUGGCUUUGGAUGUCAAGUUGGCAGCACACCCCGAGGUCAACAUUACCUUGUGCGUUUCUCAUCUUCUGUACUCUGGUUGUCUUCCCCGCCCAUCCCUCCUGGCUCCAGGUGGCUGCUCUGAGGACAAUCUGGUAAUUUCAUGCAAGAGUAAAAUAUUCUUUCCCGUAAUUACACAGAAUUUAGCAUCUUGGGUGAAAAAGUUUAGAGAUUCCUUCUUCUCUCUGCAAAACAUGACUGUGAGCGCAGAAAUAAAGUUGCUCGUUGGUAGUUUAUUCCCUCUCCUUUCCCUUUCUUUCUUCUUGCAGAUAAAUCAGCCUGUCCAAGGUGCAGUAGCCACCAUGACCUCAGUAGACUGAUGAUGGAAGAAAAGGAAACUGGGAGAUCCUGUGCUCUAGCUUCCCUGGACGAUGGAUGGAGGACAGCCCGCCCCUUCACCCCUAGUGCCCCUUGAGAACGCAUCAUCAGAUUCUAGCAUGUCUCUGGAACAGAAGACCACAUUUGUUUUUGUGAUUUUGUUGUUCAUUUUCUUGGGCAUCCUCAUUGUCAGGUGCUUCCGGAUUCUUCUGGACCCGUAUCGGAGCAUGCCAACCUCGACUUGGGCUGAUGGACUUGAAGGGCUGGAGAAGGGGCAGUUUGACCAUGCCCUUGCUUAGCAGAGGGGGUGCUCCAGAGGAGGUGAAGUGCAUCAUGAUUUGGCAAGGAUUUCUCUUUAGCCAAUAUUCUAAACACACCAAGUUUCAACAACACCCGGUCGUAGGUCCACAAUCCCUCCUUUAUUAACCAUGCCGUUGGGUUACAAAACAUUUGAGGAUAUGGGGGAUGAAGGUUUCUAACACUUGCCAAAAAUAGGAAGGUUUGAAUUUCUUUGUUUAAUCAACGAAUGAAUACUUCUGAAUACGUGUGGUGGUGAAAGCAAGAGCACCAGCACUGACAUAAACUUUGCCAUAAAAUGAAGCACUCUCCCCCCUCAACCAGAGAAUAAAGAACGUAAUGGCUCUGAAAUGAAUCUGGUCACGGGGCCACAAAGAGACUUCUUUGCUCUGAAGGUGUCUCUCAGUUUGCUUUACCAUCGUGGGAAUUGGGUCCCUGGCAGAGAGUAAGGAAGACUGUGCUCAGUGGACCGAAGGAGGUCCCCAUUCUCUCCUACAAAGCAGGCAGCUUUGGGGAGCAAACAGCGCAAACAGUUCAGCGCAAACAGUUCCAUCCUAGAAAAGAUGAGUGAGGAUGAGCUCAUUUUAUUUCUCAAAUACAACUGAAAUCAAAGACUUGCGGAGGUUUGAAAACGCUUCACCAGGCCAAGUACACUCUAGGUAUCUGUAUUAAUAACCUGUGUGGAGGGGUCGAUACAUAAUGCGAAUUUACUUUUUUUCACCCACAUGACUGAAAUUCUGGGUUGCAAAGGCAGCUACGAGUCGUGUUUGCAAGCAAAAAGUUAGUUGUCUAGAAGAGAAGACUUUCACAGUCUUAAGAGGAAUGUGUGUUUAUGACUGAAUAGGGAAGCCAAAUAAAACUUUGCAAGAAACGAUAGCAUCUCCUCUCCUAUUUCACCAAGACGAAUGCACUGGUGGCCACGUGUGAGACGGAAUGCGGAGGACAGAUAGUGUCCCGAGAGACAGAAAAAGCUGCAAGGUCAUCGAGUUCAACCCUCUCGCAUUUCAGAAAGGGCUCCCACAGAUCGUCCUGCCUGCGUACAACCUGUACUAAGCACUAUUUAAGACCCCCAAAAAGAGAGAUGAGAAAACCUCUUAUUCCAACUUCUAUUGUAGGAAAACCUUGUACCUAAAUGAAACUCCUGAAGCUGUAUUUAUAAUCUAUGUCUUCUAAUUUUCUCCUCAGCUAGCCAUCCUAUUUUUUUUAUUAAAAAAAAAGAGUUAAAAAGGCCAACCAUGCCUGAAAAGGCAGCCCUUAAAAAAAAACUGCUUUAUUGUCUCCCCCCCCCCUUUUUUUAACAUUCUUUGGGGGACCUGCUGUGCAGAUUUCCCCCCUCCCCAUGUUGCCUUUGACUUAAAAAAUAUUUGUUAAUUAAUGUUUUAAAAAUAAUUCCUACACCCAACGUGGGGCUUGAACUCACAAUCCAAUAUCAAGAGUCAGCUUUUCCAAAUGAGCUAGCCAGGCACCCCUCCUGAAUUAAAAAAAUAAAUUAAAAAAAUAACAGCUUUAUUGAAAUAUAAUUCACAGGCCAUAAAAUUUACACUUUUAAAGCGUACAAUUCAGAGGCUUUUAGAUCCUUCCCAGAGUUGUGUGACCAUUACCACUGUCUAACUCUGGAAUUCUACACCCACUAGCAGUGACUUCCCAUCCCCUUCCACCCAGCCCGUGGCAAUCUUGAAUCCACUUUCUAUCUCUAUGGGUUUGCCAAUUCUGGACAUUUUAUACAAAUGGAAUUAUAGAAUAUGGGGCCUUUGGUGUGUGGCUUCUCUCACUUAGCAUGUGUUCAAGGCAGGUUCAUGUUGUAGCGUUCCUUUGCAUGGCCAAAUAAUAUUCCAUUGUUUGGCUAUACCUUGUUUUGCCGGUCCGUCCGCUGUCAUGGUUAUCCAUUGGCUAGUCUGGAGAAUGCUGCUGUGAACAACUGUAAAAAGUCUUUGUAUGUUUUCAAGCCCAUGUUUUCAGGUCUCUUGAGUAUAUUCCUAGGAAUGGAUUUGCUGGGUCAAAUGCUAACUCUAUGUUUGACUUUUUGAAGAAUCUGAGACUGUUUCCCAGAGGGGCUACAUCAUUGUACAUCCCCACCAGCAACUUUUGAUUCUUAACUCUCUCCAAUUACUUAAAUUUCGUCUUUAGCUGUAGAUUUUAUAACUGAACACACCACUUCAAGAAUGAGUCCGAUUCAAAAGAGAGAACCACCUUGUGAUACCUACAUGCUGGUAGUUUACUGACGCCUCCAAAGAUCCUUUGCUGUUAGAUCUAAAGUAGAACGCUGAUGCCAAUCUGUAGUCAUCCCAAGCUCUACUAUGUCACCUGAAUAUUUUUUGUUUUAUGAAUGCAUAUUUCUUUAACCCACUAAUUAUAAUGUUGUUUUUUUUAAUUCAAAUGUACCCAUGUCACAUAUGUCCCUAGUCGAUUUUUUCUAUCUUAAUGGGAGUCUAUUUAAACCCGUUCAAGUAGCAGGACACCUGGGUGGCUUAGUCAGUUGAGCAUUUGACUUCGUCCCAGGUCGUGAUCUCGUGGUUCGUGGGUUUGAGCCCGGCAUCAGACUCUGCGCUGACAGUUCAGAGCCUGGAGCCUGCUUUGGAUUUUGUGUCUCCCUCUCUCUCUCUCUGCCUCUCCCCUGCUUACGCUCUGUCUCUCUCUCUGUCUC